rnacentral:rRNA from 1 species
CAUUAACUGACGCUGAGGAGCGAAAGCAUGGGGAGCGAACAGGAUUAGAUACCCUGGUAGUCCAUGCCGUAAACGUUGGGCACUAGGUGUGGGGGACAUUCCACGUUUUCCGCGCCGUAGCUAACGCAUUAAGUGCUCCGCCUGGGGAGUACGGCCGCAAGGCUAAAACUCAAAGAAAUUGACGGGGGCCCGCACAAGCGGCGGAGCAUGCGGAUUAAUUCGAUGCAACGCGAAGAACCUUACCAAGGCUUGACAUGAACCGGAAAGGCGUAGAAAUACGUCCCCCACUUGUGGUCGGUUUACAGGUGGUGCAUGGUUGUCGUCAGCUCGUGUCGUGAGAUGUUGGGUUAAGUCCCGCAACGAGCGCAACCCUCGUUCUAUGUUGCCAGCACGUGAUGGUGGGGACUCAUAGGAGACUGCCGGGGUCAACUCGGAGGAAGGUGGGGAUGACGUCAAAUCAUCAUGCCCCUUAUGUCUUGGGCUUCACGCAUGCUACAAUGGCCGGUACAAAGGGUUGCGAUACUGUGAGGUGGAGCUAAUCCCAAAAAGCCGGUCUCAGUUCGGAUUGGGGUCUGCAACUCGACCCCAUGAAGUCGGAGUCGCUAGUAAUCGCAGAUCAGCAACGCUGCGGUGGAUACGUUCCCGGGCCUUGUACACACCGCCCGUCAAGUCACGAAAGUUGGUAACACCC